rnacentral:lncRNA from 1 species
UCACGCUGGGAUAUAUGAACAGACUGCGCCCUGGCCGUAGAUCAUCCGAUCGCUUGAAGACCAGCUACCACCGGGAGAGAAGAAGCAGAGAGAGGUAGGAGGAGAGAGGGGGUCGCCGAUCUGAUCCUCUCGCUGCUGGGAAUUUGGGAGUGUCGGGGAGGAGCUGCCGGAGCAUCGCGGAGGCGUCCGCGUGGUGCUCUGAUGUGGAAUGUGAACCUGGGGGCUCUGGUUGUGCUCGUCAUGCGUGAAGAAAAGCGACCGCUGCCGUGGAGUCACACCUCGCCGCGGCUAGAAGAUUACACGCAUCAAGUCUCGGUAAGAUGUCUCUUAUUGAGCUUGCCGUGAUCCCCCAUCGUGUAGUAUCUCUAGUUUCGAAGUUUGGACCGACGGGUUGCCAGAGCAUGCACUUCAGCCAUGGCGCCACCAAGUUAGGCGGCGCCGCCGCGGCGUGCUGUUGGGGAAGAAGGUAACGCCCUUGCCGUUCGAAUCGCGAUGGGCGGUGUAGAUUAACCGAUGCUGUUCACGUUGGGGCGUGUGUGCCGUCCGAUCUGGCUGACGGUUAGGAUUUGUUAUGUGCGCCGAUGUAAUCUGGGCCACCAGAUGGUGAUCGGACGGCUGAAAACACAGGAUACCCCUUCACGCGGCAUAAUAUCUAAAGAGACCCUAGGUUAAUAACAAUUCAACCCGCAGUCCACCUGGUGGGUCAUCUGUGUCUUAGGAUUAAUUGCAUCAGGGCCCCUGACUUCUCUGGAAAUUGAGGCUCAGUCCAGGGUAGAUUAAAAAUAGAGAAAUAAUAUUAGAAUUUCGUUUUUAAUACAAAAACAAUUCUAGAAACUUGUAAAAUGCAUAUAAAAUUCAUUUUAGCUCCAAAUUGAACCAUUCCAAUUUCUAAAAUUUUGUAAUAAUAUUCUCUAUCAUUUAGUGUCUCUGUUUUGUCAUGAAAACAGUAAGAAAAUUAAUUUAUCAUUUAAUCUUAUUUCAAGCACAUUAAACCUUAGGAAAUUCAUAACUUGAAAGCUAUAACUCCAAAUUUAAUGAUUCCAGUUCCUACGAUUUUAGUGUAAUAUGUAGAUUUUUAUUGCGUAUUUUAUUCACAUGUUUGGUGCAAUGUUAAUUUUUGCUAUACCCUGUAUGUAUUGUGUUGAUGCGAGUAGACGAGCAAGCCACUGUGGAUUCUGAGGUUUAACAAGUAGAAGUAGCUGAGCAGGAGCUCAUUGAAUGCAAGUUGUGCCCUUGAUCACUUACUUUUCCCAGCCAUGUUCUUAUUAAUUUUAAUGAUCUGCAUAGGUUAAUUUUGAUGGGAUCCUUUAUGUUAUCCCAGUUUUGAUUACCUCUAUACCUUGAUCACCCCUGAAAUAUUUUUGGGUAGUACUUGCUAUUGCUUUAUGUGGAUUGGGUAUGGAGAUACACUACUCAUGAUUAUCCUGUUAUUAUCUUGUUAUUAUACUGUUCAUGUUAAGAUCAUUAAAUUAAUGGGAACAUGGAGCGACCACCCGGGAAAACAAUGCUACCACAAGGGUUUAAUGGGACGCCCUUGGCUGAUUAACUAGGAAAGCUAGUGGAGGUCUUCCUUACCCGAAAGGGGCAAGGGCAGUAGGGGAGUGGUCAGUGUAGGGAGGUCCCUGUGUUGAUUUUGCUGCGAUGGCGGUCAGGCAAGAACCCUGCACUGGAGCUUCCUAUAAACUGUAGCGGGAUUUCUGAAGCUAGUGGAACUUUGUAAAGGCCUUGUAGUGUUACCCUGCCUCGCCUCCUCGGUAGAGGUGUAUGGGAUUGGCCGUCUCUUGGCAGAUGGGUAACAUGACUUGUGGGUAAAGAUGUGCAACCUCUGCAGAGUGUAAAACUAGUAUACUAGCCGUGCUCACGGUCAUGAGCGGCUCGGACCCUCACAUGAUUAAAUAUGGAACUUAAAUUUAAUUUGACAUUUGCAUCGCAUUUGGGAUUAUUUUACUAUUACUGUUCUUUAUUAUUAUUAAGGUUUGGUAUUUACUUACACUUAGUAAUUGCUAAUAAAAUUUUGACCAACUUAUAAAAGCAAUGCUAAGCUUCAGCCUCUAUUUCAUUGAUCAGCCUUACACUCCAUGAACUCCCACCUUUGGUGAGUUCAUGCCACAUUAUUCCCCAUGACUUGUUGAGCUAUGAACGUAUGUGAGCUCACUCUUGCUGUCUCACAUCCCCCACAGGAGAAGAGAAGGUGGUCGAAGAGGAACCGCCUAACACUGAGGCAUUCGACUUGAUCUAGGUGGCGUUUCUCAGUUGACAUUGGCGCCAUCGAUCCUUAGUUCGUUUUACCUUUAUUCUUUUACUUUGUAAUAAGUCUUCCGCUAUGUAAUAAAUACUCUGAUGAUUUAUGACAUUUAUCUCUAUACACUCUGUUAUUAUAUAUGUUGUCUUCUUUGGCGCAUGUAUGAGAUGCACCCGUCUUUGUUCCUUAAAACCGGGUGUUACAGAAGUGGUAUCAGAGGAAAUGUUGACUAUAGGACGAAACCUAGAUAGAAAUGGACAAAAGCCUUCCCUACUUACCUUCUUCUGAUUCAUUCUAUACUUACCUUACUCUGAUUCUCUCUAUACUUAUCUUGAUCCUGUCUCACUUUCUACUGUUCUACUCUGAUGAUUCUUACCUUUUCUACUCUAAGACAAGAUGUAUUUCACACUUUGGAAUCCUACCUUUAUGACCUUUUUAAGAGAUAGGAGACCUAAGACAAAAAAAUAAAAUUAUUUUAUCUAUUAAAAAUGUUGGUUGAUUGUGCUGAAGAUCAAUGCCUGAUUUGCUUCUUUGAUUGAUUGAAAUAGUAUAGAUGGGCAUCUUAGCAUGUACCACAAUAAGGUAAUGAAUUAGCUUUAGUAGGUUACACACUUAGCUAAUAAAUCCCCCCAAAGUAACAUGCUUCGUAAUCACUGCCUUGUCUAGAAUCCUUUCUUUCGUCCCCUGUGUUUCUAACCCAGAUGGGCUACCCCUAUAAUGUUAGAAGAGAGCACUAUAGACGUGAUCCUUGAUAUGUCGUGGUUAAGAAAGGUAAAGGCAGUUUAUACACUGGUGCUAAAGGAACCAUAGAACUCACCAGUUCCAAAGGAGAAGGAUUUGAAGUUGGAAUUGCAGUAACUACCGCCACCAAACUAGCAGCAUUCUUAGUCGAUGGGAAGUUUGUUGGUGACAACAUCCGUGUGGUUAAGGAUUUUCCGGAUGUCUUUCCAGAGGAGUUACCAGGGAUGCCACCAGAUACGGAAGUUGAGUUGGUCAUUGAUCUCUUACCUGGGACUGCCCCUACUUUCAAGCGGCCAUACAGGAUGUCUGUAGAAGAGUUGAAGGGACUCAAGAAGCACUUAACGGAGUUGCAAGAGGUUGGGUACAUUCGUCCGAGUUCCUCACCUUGUGGAGCGCCGAUUCUAAUUGUACAGAAGAAAGAAGGAUCACAAGGGGUGUACGUGGAUUAUAGGUCCCUUAACGAUGUCACUGUGAAGAACAAGUGUCCAUUACCCCGCAUUGAGGAUUUAUUCAGAUGAGAGGUGCAAGGGUAUUCUCGAAGAUUGAUCUCCGAUCGGGUUAUCAUCAAAUGAAGAUUAGGCCAUCGGAUAUUCCCAAGACAUCUUUCUCGACUCGAUAUGGAUUAUAUGAGUUCUUUGUUAUGUCGUUUGGAUUAGCUAAUGCACCAGCUUAUUUUAUGGGUUUGAUGAAUAAGGUGUUUAUGGAGUAUUUGGACAGAUUCGUCGUAGUAUUUAUCGACGAUAUUCUUAUCUAUUCUAAGAGUGAAAGUGAUCAUGAGGAACACCUGAGAUUGGUGCUACAAAAGCUAAGAGAUAAUCAACUCUAUGCCAAGUACAGUAAAUGCGAGUUUUGGAUUGACGAGGUGCCAUUCCUUAGACAUAUCAUUCCUAAUGGAGGGAUAUCAGUGGAUCCUGCUAAAGUCAAGGAGAUAGUGGUGUGGAGCAUACCCACUACAGUUACGAAGAUUCGGAGUUUCUUGGGACUUGCAGGAUAUUAUCGGAGAUUUAUUGAAGGGUUCUCUAAGAUUGCCAAGCCUAUGACCUCGCUUUUGGAGAAAGGAAGAGAAUUCAAGUGGGAUGAGAAAUGCCAAGAGAGCUUUGAUCAAUUGAAGGAGAGGUUGAUGUCGCCACCAGUAUUGGUUAUGCCAGAUCUACAGAAGGGACUUGACAUUUAUUGUGAUGCAUGUGGCCAAGGCUUGGGAUGUGUGCUCAUGCAAGAAGGACACGUGAUUGCUUACGCGUCUCGUCAGUUGCGGAAACAAGAGUUAAACUACCCCACUCAUGACUUAGAGCUGGUAGCCGUUGUGCAUGCGCUUAAGAUUUGGAGACAUUAUCUCAUGGGAACCAAGUGUUAAGUGUACACGGAUCAUAAGAGUUUGAAGUAUAUGUUCACUUAGAAGAAUCUCAACCUUAGGCAACGCCGUUGGUUGGAGCUUAUUAAGGAUUAUGAUUUGGAGAUUCACUAUCACCCGGGCAAGGCAAAUUUGGUUGCAAAUGCCUUGAGUCGAAAGGAGCAUGUUCAUUUAGCUGUUGUUGCCCAGCUACCCGAUGAAAUUGUUGAGAAUUUCAGGAGACUUAACCUGGGGAUUGUUGCUCACACUGAAGGAGUUACUAUUGAUGUGGAAUCUACCUUGGAACAAGAAAUCCACAAAGGACAAAUUGGUGAUGCUAAAAUACAAGAGAUUAAGGAUCUGAUUACUGAAGGACGAGGUCCGGAAUUUACGGAAGAUGAGCAAGGCAUCAUAUGGUUCAAGGACAGGAUAUGUGUUCCUGAUAUUGAAAGCCUUCGUGAGACUGUUUUAAAGGAGCCCCAUGACUUGGAUUAUUCUAUUCAUCCUGGUAGUACCAAGAUGUAUCAGGAUUUGAAGCGGAAGUAUUGGUGGUAUGGAUUGAAGAGAGUUGUGGCUGCACAUGUGGCUAUGUGCGAUGUGUGUCAAAGAGUUAAGGCAGAACACCAAAGACAAGCUGGACUAUUAUACCCAUUAAAGAUACCCGAGUGGAAGUGGGAAGAGAUUGGUAUGGAUUUUAUUACUGGGUUGCCUCACACCUCGAAAGGAUAUGAUUCUAUAUGGGUUAUUAUGGAUAGCCUAACCAAAGUGGCUCAUUUCAUUCCGGUCAAGACUACUUAUAAGUAAUCUCAAUUGGUUUAAGUUAUAUAUGGCUCGGAUUAUGUCUCUACACGGUGUACCAAAGAUCGUUUUGGAUAGAGGAUCACAGUUUACCUCCAGAUUUUGGAAAAGUUUUCAAGAGAAUGUGGAUACAAAGUUGAAUUCUAGUUCGGCCAUCCUCAGACUGAUGGACAGACUGAAGGGACUAAUCAAGUAUGGGAGGACAUGUUGAGAACUUGUGCCCUUCAGCAUGGUAGUAGUUGGGACAAGAGUCUACCUUAUGCUUAGUUCUCAUAUAAUAAUAGUUACCAGGCCAGUCUGAAGAUGUCACCGUUCGAGGCUUUAUACGGCAGAAAUGCAGGACUCCUCUAUUUUUGGACCAGACUAGAGGAAGACAAAUCUUUGGACCUGAACUUAUUCAAGAGGCGGAAGAACAAGUCCGUAUAAUUCGGGAGGAUUUAAGAUAGCUCAGACCAGACAAAAGAGCUACGUUGAUAACAGAAGAAGACCAUUGGAAUUUGAGGAAGGAGAUCAUGUGUACCACAAGAUGUCACCACUUCGUGGAAUGAGGAGAUUCAAAGUUAAGGGCAAUUUGUCCCCUCGCUUUAUUGGACCAUUCUGAGUUUUUAGGCAAGUUAGAGAGAUGGCCUAUCAACUCGAGCUACCUGAUAAGAUAUCUGAUAUGCAUAAUGUAUUUUAUGUGUCUCAACUUAAGAAGUGUCUCUGUGUCCCUGAGGAACAGUUACCAAUGGAUGAGCUCCGUGUUCAAGGGGAUUUGACUUAUACGGAAUAUCCUACCAAGAUUCUUGAUACAUCGACUCGAGUUACAAGAAAUAAGGUUAUAAAGAUGUGCAAAGUACAAUGGAGCCAUCAUGGAGAAGAUGAAGCUGCUUGGCAGAGAGCAAAAGAGCCCCGCAUAGAUUUUCCCAUUGUUUCCCUAGUCCUUCCUAAAUCUCGAGGACGAGAUUCUUGUUAAGGGGGUAGGAUUUGUAAAGCCCAAAAUUUGUAUCACGGAAAAAAAUAAUAAAUAAAAAUAAGUAUGUAGUGUUUUGGGAUUAUGGAACCGUUGGAAAUUAUUUGAUUUCCUUUUUCCCUUGUGCAUACUUAAUUAAGGGAAUUAAAGUAAUCAAAUAACAAAUGAAUAAAUACAUAAAUAUGCAUUAAAGUUGUAAACUAAACCAAAGGUUAUAUAGUUAUGUGGUUGUUUACAUAAAUGAAUAAUAAAGUUUGAAUGAACUAUUGAAAUAAAUAAUGUAUAUGUUGUAUAUGUUGAACAUUUGCAUAAAUAAUUAAUAUAUAAAAUAUAUACAUUAUUUGCAUCUCAUGCUGGAGUUGUGCUUGUGCAUUUUAAUUUAUGUGUGUGAAUUUCCAACCAAAUUCAAAUUUGGAAAGAGAAAAAAAUUGAAAAUAGGAAAUGCAAAUAAAAAAAAAGACAAAGAAGCUUACCUCGCAUGAUGCAUGGCCUCUCCAUUGCACGUUUUUCUCAGCAAAGCCCAAAUGCACACACGUAUUUUUUUUCUUCUUUUCCUUAUGCGUCGUGAUGCUGUUGCAUGCAGUCAAUAGCCAUAUUGCAUGCACUCGCUGUUCUCGUAUAGCGAUUGACUUACGGGUCCGCGAUUUCAGCCUCGUCGGUCUUCUUCAGGCCACGACGAUCACUGCAGCUGGGAGGUUACUAUACGCCGUAACAAACUGUAACCGCCACCGAUUUGUUCGCUGACAUCGCGCCAACCCUCCUCACGCUGGGAUAUAUGAACAGACUGCGCCCUGGCCGUAGAUCAUCCGAUCGCUUGAAGACCAGCUACCACCGGGAGAGAAGAAGCAGAGAGAGGUAGGAGGAGAGAGGGGGUCGCCGAUCUGAUCCUCUCGCUGCUGGGAAUUUGGGAGUGUCGGGGAGGAGCUGCCGGAGCAUCGCGGAGGCGUCCGCGUGGUGCUCUGAUGUGGAAUGUGAACCUGGGGGCUCUGGUUGUGCUCGUCAUGCGUGAAGAAAAGCGACCGCUGCCGUGGAGUCACACCUCUCCGCGGCUAGAAGAUUACACGCAUCAAGUCUCGGUAAGAUGUCUCUUAUUGAGCUUGCCGUGAUCCCCCAUCGUGUAGUAUCUCUAGUUUCGAAGUUUGGACCGGCGGGUUGCCAGAGCACGCACUUCAGCCAUGGCGCCACCAAGUUAGGCGGCGCCGCCGCGGCGUGCUGUUGGGGAAGAAGGUAACGCCCUUGCCGUUUGAAUCGCGAUGGGCGGUGUAGAUUAACCGAUGCUGUUCACGUUGGGGCGUGUGUGCCGUCCGAUCUGGCUGACGGUUAGGAUUUGUUAUGUGCGCCGAUGUAAUCUGGGCCACCAGAUGGCGAUCGGACGUCUGAAAACACAGGAUACCCGUUCACGCGGCAUAAUAUCUAAAGAGACCCUAGGUUAAUAACAAUUCAACCCGCAGUCCACCUGGUGGGUCAUCUGUGUCUUAGGAUUAAUUGCAUCAGGGCCCCUGACUUCUCUGGAAAUUGAGGCUCAGUCCAGGGUAGAUUAAAAAUAGAGAAAUAAUAUUAGAAUUUCGUUUUUAAUACAAAAACAAUUCUAGAAACUUGUAAAAUGCAUAUAAAAUUCAUUUUAGCUCCAAAUUGAACCGUUCCAAUUUCUAAAAUUUUGUAAUAAUAUUCUAUAUCAUUUAGUGUCUCUGUUUUGUCAUGAAAACAGUAAGAAAAUUAAUUUAUCAUUUAAUCUUAUUUCAAGCACAUUAAACCUUAGGAAAUUCAUAACUUGAAAGCUAUAACUCCAAAUUUAAUGAUUCCAGUUCCUACGAUUUUAGUGUAAUAUGUAGAUUUUUAUUGCGUAUUUUAUUCACAUGUUUGGUGCAAUGUUAAUUUUUGCUAUACCCUGUAUGUAUUGUGUUGAUGCGAGUAGACGAGCAAGCCACUGUGGAUUCUGAGGUUUAACAAGUAGAAGUAGCUGAGCAGGAGCUCAUUGAAGGCAAGUUGUGCCCUUGAUCACUUACUUUUCCCAGCCAUGUUCUUAUUAAUUUUAAUGAUCUGCAUAGGUUAAUUUUGAUGGGAUCCUUUAUGUUACCCCAGUUUUGAUUACCUCUAUACCUUGAUCACCCCUGAAAUAUUUUUGGAUAGUACUUGCUAUUGCUUUAUGUGGAUUGGGUAUGGAGAUACACUACUCAUGAUUAUCCUGUUAUUAUCUUGUUAUUAUACUGUUCAUGUUAAGAUCAUUAAAUUAAUGGGAACAUGGAGCGACCACCCGGAAAAACAGUGCUACCACAAGGGUUUAAUGGGACGCCCUUGGCUGAUUAACUAGGAAAGCUAGUAGAGGUCUUCCUUACCCGAAAGGGGCAAGGGCAGUAGGGGAGUGGUCAGUGUAGGGAGGUCCUUGUGUUGAUUUUGCUGCGAUGGCGGUCAGGCAAGAACCCUGCACUGGAGCUUCCUAUAAACUGUAGCGGGAUUUCUGAAGCUAGUGGAACUUUGUAAAGGCCUCGUAGUGUUACCCUGCCUCGCCUCCUCGGUAGAGGUGUAUGGGAUUGGCCGUCUCUUGGCAGAUGGGUAACAUGACUUGUGGGUAAAGAUGCGCAACCUCUGCAGAGUGUAAAACUAGUAUACUAGCCGUGCUCACGGUCAUGAGCGGCUCGGACCCUCACAUGAUUAAAUAUGGAACUUAAAUUUAAUUUGACAUUUGCAUCGCAUUUGGGAUUAUUUUACUAUUACUGUUCUUUAUUAUUAUUAAGGUUUGGUAUUUACUUACACUUAGUAAUUGCUAAUAAAAUUUUGACCAACUUAUAAAAGCAAUGCUCAGCUUCAGCCUCUAUUUCAUUGAUCAGCCUUACACUCCAUGAACUCCCACCCUUUGGUGAGUUCAUGCCACAUUAUUCCCCAUGACUUGUUGAGCUAUGAACGUAUGUGAGCUCACUCUUGCUGUCUCACAUCCCCCACAGGAGAAGAGCAGGUGGUCGAAGAGGAGCCGCCUAACACUGAGGCAUUCGACUUGAUCUAGGUGGCGUUUCUCAGUUGACAUUGGCGCCAUCGAUCCUUAGUUCGUUUUACCUUUAUUCUUUUACUUUGUAAUAAGUCUUCCGCUAUGUAAUAAAUACUCUGAUGAUUUAUGACAUUUAUCUCUAUACACUCUGUUAUUAUA